AUGGCCAAUUGGCAGAGCGGCCUGAAUACAUACAUUUAUCAAUUAAGUUCACUGUCCUAUUUGGGCAUGGUUCAUGCUCCCCCAAACAAUUACAAUAGUAACAUCAAAGAUCACUGGCCACAAAACUCCAUAACAAAUAUAAUAAUGAAAAGUUUUGAGAUUUUACAAGAAUUACCAAGGUGUGACAUGGAGAUCCUAAAUGAACAAAUGUACAUAGUAGUACAUAGUAGUGAUGUUGGGACAGGAGCAGGCGUGUUGGAAAUCAAGAAAAUUGGAGAUGAGUACUUUACAUUCAUCACUGAGUGCAAAGACCCCAAGGCAUGUACCAUCUCCGGGGAGCCAGCAAAGAGGUUCUCUCGGAAGUGGAAUGUAACCUCCAGGAUGCCAUGUAGGUGUGCCACAAUGUCCUCUUGGACCCCCAGCUGGUUCCAGGAGGUGGGGCCUCUGAAAUGGCUGUGGCCCAUGCCUUGACAGAAAAAUCCAAGGCCAUGACUGGUGUGGAACAGUGGCCAUACAGGGCUGUUGCCCAGGCCUUUGAGGUCAUCCCUCGCACCCUAAUCCAGAACUGUGGGGCCAGCACCAUUCGUCUGCUUACCUCCCUUCGGGCCAAGCACACUCAGGAGAACUGUGAGACAUGGGGUGUAAACGGUGAGACAGGUACCUUGGUAGACAUGAAAGAACUGGGCAUCUGGGAACCACUGGCUGUAAAGCUGCAGACAUACAAGACAGCAGUAGAGACGGCAGUUCUCCUGCUGCGGAUUGAUGACAUUGUCUCAGGCCACAAAAAGAAGGGUGACGACCAGAGCCGGCAAGGCGGGACUCCUGACGCUGGCCAGGAGUGAGUGGAGGGCAAGGUGACCUCAACGCACAGAGCCGGCAGAGGCCUCCUCUUCCCUGAGCCAGACUGCCAGGGACACUGUGGACGUCUCUGUUUGGAAGGGAUCAGGUUGAGGGGCAGCCCUGGCCUCUUCCUGGCAUAGCUCAGUUUGCAAAAGGCGCUGACAUAUAAUUCUUCUCUAUUGUAAGCUUUCCAUUUAAUGUAGUUUGCUUCCAUUGAUUAAAUCUAAGUCAUUUG